AGAGUUUGAUCCUGGCUCAGGACGAACGCUGGCGGCGCGCCUAACACAUGCAAGUCGAACGAGAGAUGAGGAGCUUGCUCUUCAAAUCGAGUGGCGAACGGGUGAGUAACGCGUGAGGAACCUGCCUCAAAGAGGGGGACAACAGUUGGAAACGACUGCUAAUACCGCAUAAGCCCACGGCUCGGCAUCGAGCAGAGGGAAAAGGAGCAAUCCGCUUUGAGAUGGCCUCGCGUCCGAUUAGCUAGUUGGUGAGGUAACGGCCCACCAAGGCGACGAUCGGUAGCCGGACUGAGAGGUUGAACGGCCACAUUGGGACUGAGACACGGCCCAGACUCCUACGGGAGGCAGCAGUGGGGAAUAUUGCACAAUGGGGGAAACCCUGAUGCAGCGACGCCGCGUGGAGGAAGAAGGUCUUCGGAUUGUAAACUCCUGUUGUUGAGGAAGAUAAUGACGGUACUCAACAAGGAAGUGACGGCUAACUACGUGCCAGCAGCCGCGGUAAAACGUAGGUCACAAGCGUUGUCCGGAAUUACUGGGUGUAAAGGGAGCGCAGGCGGGAGAACAAGUUGGAAGUGAAAUCCAUGGGCUCAACCCAUGAACUGCUUUCAAAACUGUUUUUCUUGAGUAGUGCAGAGGUAGGCGGAAUUCCCGGUGUAGCGGUGGAAUGCGUAGAUAUCGGGAGGAACACCAGUGGCGAAGGCGGCCUACUGGGCACCAACUGACGCUGAGGCUCGAAAGUGUGGGUAGCAAACAGGAUUAGAUACCCUGGUAGUCCACACCGUAAACGAUGAUUACUAGGUGUUGGAGGAUUGACCCCUUCAGUGCCGCAGUUAACACAAUAAGUAAUCCACCUGGGGAGUACGACCGCAAGGUUGAAACUCAAAGGAAUUGACGGGGGCCCGCACAAGCAGUGGAGUAUGUGGUUUAAUUCGACGCAACGCGAAGAACCUUACCAAGUCUUGACAUCCCUU
rnacentral:rRNA from 1 species